rnacentral:lncRNA from 1 species
GGGAAGAGAACAAUGUAACUUAUCUUAUUAAGAAUUUAAAGACUGCUUUGUGACAGAUUGUGGGUCAGUUCUGAGAUGAUGGAAACAGGAAUAGGAUCAAUUGAGUAUAAUUCCAUCACCCAGACUUUUAUUCAAGUGGUGACAUCAGGUCUGAUUCUUUUGAUAUAAGCCAUUCUUCUGUUGGUGGCGCAGGUUACAGAAGUUUCACCUCAACAUGUCUCCCGAGUUUCCCUCCCAGAAAGCCCUCCAGACGAGAAUGGGAUGAGAUGAACAGUUUCUGUUGGUCCCAAUGGUGUGCCCAGAAGGGGUCAUGAUCCACAGGUUGAGAAAAACUGAUUUAGAAUAUGAGAACAAGUGAAACUAGUCCUUCCCAGAACCCGCAGGAACCAUUUCAUACAGAGGAAAACUGCUUGGU